rnacentral:tmRNA from 1 species
GGGGCCGACCUGGUUUCGACGUGGGUGCGGAUCCGGAGUAGGGCAUGCCGAGCACCAGUCCGCUCGUAAAACCACUGGAAACAAAGUAACUGCAAACGACUCUACGUUCGCACUCGCCGCUUAAUUGCGGUUGAGCUUCUCAACGGCAGGCCGAUGGGCCGGGCUGAGUUCCAUUCGGGGCAAGGCUGAGAAGUCACUCACAUCGGCUG